rnacentral:rRNA from 1 species
CCCGGGCCUUGUACACACCGCCCGUCAAGUCACGAAAGUUGGUAACACCCGAAGCCGGUGGCCUAACUCCUUGCGGGAGGGAGCUGUCGAAGGUGGGACUGGCGAUUGGGACU